UAAGCUCAUUGCGAAGUACUCAACUUGACCUGACGUUAAAUGGGACUUCUUCCAUAGAAAAAUGUUAUGUAAGUCAAUUGAACAUCUACUUGAUUCAUCAAAUGUGAUAAAUAUAAGUUUGUUUCUUUAUGUGUUAAAGUGAUAAAAAAAGGAAGAGGGCUGUUUUGUUGUUAUAUUGUAUUCACAUAUUUAUAAACCUGCUAUUGUUCAUGAAUACAGUUGCCUGUAGAUCAAUGUGUUUUCUCUGGUGCCCCAGUGUAUUCAAUGAUAAGGGAUGUCAUUCUGAUGGUCUCUCCUUGUUAUAAUUCUGCGAAUUUGUUCUCUUUGUUUAUCUUGAAGUCAAGUAGCACGUAUUGAGUAUUUGCACUAUAACCAAGUGCAAAUUGUGCCAAACGAAAACAUUAUAACUAAAAGAGUAUAUUUCACAAGACCAUAAAUAUUAUGGUAAAAGUUGUAUAGAACCAUAGAGGUUUUGACAAAUGACACUUAACCCUGAAUAUUGUGGUUCAAAGUUGUACAAAAUCACACUAUUAACUAAUUUAACUUGCUACUAUAGUGAAGCACAAUUGACAAACUAAAGAAUGCUGAACUCAAGGGCAUGCCAUCUCCUUUGUGUUAAGUUCUAUGGUUCAUCUAGGGUUUUAGCUCUAGUUCGGUGCCUAUUUGUAUGAAUCAAUGGGAUUGCAGUUAGGGAAAGAGGGGAUUAGAGGUAGGGUUACCGACCAGUCGAUCCAGAUGCAGAGGAGGAAGAGUCGGCCAUCGUCUUCGCUUCGGCUUGGGGCUGAUGACGGGGACAAUGGUCGUGGACGUACUCCGGCGAGGUCGCGGCGCAACUGGUGGCGAUUCCCGUCACUAGUUGUCGACGAGGCGGCGGGACAGGUGGCGACGUCCAACGGCGAUGACCGGGCGAUGGGGUCGGGGG
rnacentral:lncRNA from 1 species